AAAAAGAAACUAACAAAGGGAUUUCCCCUAGUAACGGCGAGUGAAGCGGGAUAAGCUCAAGCUUAAAAUCUCCAUGCUAGUUUAGCAUGGCGAAUUGUAGUCUAUUGAGGCUGUUGUCAGCACAGACAUUUGGGACAAGUCCCUUGGAAGAGGGCAGCAUAGAGGGUGAUACUCCCGUCUUUGCUCAGAUGUCUUGUGUGUACGAUACGCUUUCUUUGAGUCGAGUUGCUUGGGAAUGCAGCUCAAAGUAGGUGGUAGAUUCCAUCUAAAGCUAAAUAUAGGUGCGAGACCGAUAGCGAACAAGUACCGUGAGGGAAAGAUGAAAAGAACUUUGAAAAGAGAGUUAAAAAGUACCUGAAACUGUUAAAAGGGAAUCGUAUCGCUUCCAGUGUCUUAUCCUUUGCAUACUUCAUUGGCGAACUUGUUUGCUGGUGCCCUGUGCAUUGGUGUGACGUCAAAGUCAGUUUGUAAGCUGCGGGAAAUGGUUAUUGAGGAGGUACUUCACUUCGGUGAACGUUAUAGCUUGAUAACUAGUCGUCGUGGCUGAGACUGAGGUGCCUAUAACAUGCUUUGAAGUCUUGUUGUGUCUCGUUUGAAUAAUUGUUUGGAUAGCUUGCUAUGUCUGUGAUUAUUUUGAGCGAUUGAUGCGAUCUGUAACUUCCUGCUGUUCGGGACUUUGGCGAAAUGGAGCGAUAUGUCCCGUCUUGAAACACGGACCAAGGAGUCUAACAUGUGUGCAAGUAUUAGGGUGUGGAAGCCCAAAUGCGUAAUGAAAGUAAAUGGUAACUCGGUUACCUUAGGUAGGAAAGCAGCAAUGCUGGCACUAUCGACCGAUCAUGAAUCUACGGAUGAAAGAUUUGAGUAUGAGCAUAUAUGUUGGUACCCGAAAGAUGGUGAACUAUGCGUGAAUAGGGUGAAGCCAGGGGAAACUCUGGUGGAAGCUCGUAGCGAUUCUGACGUGCAAAUCGAUCGUCAAAUUUGCGUAUAGGGCGAAAGACUAAUCG
rnacentral:rRNA from 1 species